UAAAUGGAUGCCACCUUAUUGGGACAAAAAAAGCCCUCCCUCACAACUUUUUGAUUAUUUCCUUCAUUUUAUUGAAAUAAAUGCUUUUCUGACUGCUCUUUAUCUGUUGUUGACUAGCUCAAUAAGAAAUAUAUAAGGUGCCAUUCAAGUGUAAUAUUACAGUAUACACAGUUAAGUAAAGUGCAGCAGGAUGUUAAUAUAUUGUAAAUAAAAUCCUACAGGGUUUUUUCUGCUCAAAAUGAGGAGGUGGUACAUCGCGUGCACACAAUGUGACCGCCCUUUAACUGGCCGAAACAAACACUUUUUACACGCAACAUAUUUUAGGUGGCUGUAAUAAUCAAAUGAUUGAAAAAAAAAAAAAAAACUUCUUACAAACCUUAAGUUUGGUUUGUGAAACCGACUCAAAAGAACGAUUCGUGUCAAGAACCGAACAUCAGCUCUGGGCUGAAAACGAGUCCUUUUGAGAGAGAGAGGCGAGCAGAUCACGAUACACUCCUCCCUCACAGUAGUUUAGUUUGCAGGAAUAUAAAUAUCUCCAUCAGUUCAGGAAGAGCUGAAAUCUGCUCAGAGACUGAGUUUAUCAAAGAGGACAGAGAGAAGAUGAGAGAUCUAGAGCCCUGCAGAAUCAAACACACUGAAGAUACUCAAGAAUAACAGAGUUGUUUGAAGAAAAUGAGGAGAAUGGAGAGUUCAGUGAAGUUGAGGAGAAAAUUCAUGUCAAAACUGAAGAAAAACCUUUAAUUUGCUCUCAAACGAAAACCAAACAGAAAGACUUAAGGCAAAGAAGAGCCAAAAAAUAUUUCACUUGCACUCAGUGUGGAAAGAGUUUGACAAGCAAACAUAUUGACGUUCACAUGAGAGUUCACACUGGAGAGAAACUGUACACAUGUGAUCAAUGCGACAAAGCAUUUUUGAGAGCUUCAGACCUGAAGAAGCACCUGACAGUUCAUACAAAGGAGAAGCCACAUUCAUGUCAUUUAUGUGGAAAGAGUUUUUUCCAUUACUACAAAAUUUGAAAGAACAUCAGAAAAUACACACUGCUGUGAGAGAGUACCAUGUGCUUUGAGUGUGAAAAGACUUUUACUACAGCACAGUGUUUAAAACAGCAUGAGAGGAUUCACACUGGAGAAAAACCUUACACGUGAUCAAUGUAGAAAGAGUUUCACACAAAAAAAAGGACACCUUAUGGUACACAUGAGAGUUCAUGCUGGAGAGAAACUGUAUGCAUGUGAUCAAUGUGGGAAGAGUUUCAGACUAAAACGACAUCUUACGAAACAUAUGAGA